UCUGGUUUCCCACAAAACAUGGAAUUCCUGCACAUCCAGAUCCGUGCUUCUUGCCUGCUGUCCCACACCAGGCUGGGCUUCUUGAAGGCAAGGCAGGGAGGGGGCUGGGUGGAGGAGGGGCCACGGUGCCAGCUCCCCUGUCUGUCAUCGCAGGUGCCUGUCCACAUGUAAGGACUAGAUGCCAGGGCAGGGAGUGCAUGAGAACUCCCCCUAUGGGCAUCCUGACAUUUCUGGGGCAGGGCAGAGACAUGGCACCACAUGGAGGUGGCAGUUGAGCUGGCCUCACAAGACAGACGGGUCCUCUGUGGCCAGCCCUCCCCUGCCACAAAAGGACAGGCAAGGCAGGUGUGUUGUGUGUGGAGGUCUCUGGGCGUGAGCGGACAGGUCAUUACUCUACCUCUGUGCUGGGUUCCUUGUCCCUGCUCCAUGGCUGGCCCCCACCCAGGCAGGGGAACCUGUCUGACCAGUCCUGGAGGCAGACUGCCAAGGCGGUGGGCAGGAGGAAGAAGAGCACUUCUGCCCUUGGACUUCCUCCCAGUGGGGCUGAGUGGUCCUUGGGACUCUGCUAGUCUGUUCCAACCCUACUGGGUGCCCCCAACUCUGUUGUGCCUGUGCUCUUUGUCACGGGGCACCUCACCACACCUUCCAGAACCAAAGCUUCCUGGGCUGGCCUGGAGGCCACAGUCCGGCAGAGGCCAGCUGGGAAUGUUGGAGGGGGUCUGAGAUGGUCCCUGUGUAAGGGGAACUGCCACCCAUGGUGUGUGAGUGCCACCUUGUGGCCUAAAGGGCUGGCCGCUGCGUAUGACUGGAACAUCGCAGACCCAGCCUGGCAGGCACUGGGGAGAAGGACGUGCACCCCUGAGGGAGGCUGCAGGGAAGCCAGGACCCUCGGGCUCUGAGUUAGCAAGGUGCUGGGCAACCUUCCUGGAGAAGGAGACAUGAGCUGGGGACUGAAGAGGGACUUGUCCCAGCCUGAGGCCAGAAAGCUGUGUGGUGAGGAGCGUUUGUGUGAGCAGGGAG
rnacentral:lncRNA from 1 species